UACAGAGGGGGCAAGCGUUGUUCGGAAUUACUGGGCGUAAAGGGCUCGUAGGCGGCCAACUAAGUCACACGUGAAAUCCCCAGGCUUAACCUGGGAACUGCGUGUGAUACUGGAUGGCUUGAAUUCGGGAGAGGGAUGCAGAAUUCCAGGUGUAGCGGUGAAAUGCGUAGAUAUCUGGAGGAACAUCGGUGGCGAAGGCGGCAUCCUGGACCGGUAUUGACGCUGAGGCGCGAAAGCCAGGGGAGCAAACGGG
rnacentral:rRNA from 1 species